UGGAGCAUUACAAAGAGACACAUGACAACUCAUUUGAUCACGGCCGGUGGAACAUCCAUAGGAAGGCCCCAUAAUGGAGCAGCCUUCUCCACGUCGAACAUCACAAAACGUCACUGGAUCCGGGAAGGAGGAAGUAUAACACUGCUGGAAGCUAUGCUAUUCCAAAUCUCUGACAUGCUUCUCCGUUUACUAUUUGAGGAGAAUAAUAAAUAAUGAAGAUUUAAUAAGGUGUAUUUUGCGUUUCCUUUAAAUAAUAUUCUCUCUAACAUAUAAGAGAAAUAACUUAAGUAGUGAUAGAUUUGAAUUUAAUCAUUGUAUUGUAUUAUAAAAGAAUAAAUGAGUCACUUCUAA
rnacentral:lncRNA from 1 species